rnacentral:rRNA from 1 species
GACGAACGCAGGCGGCGUGCCUAACACAUGCAAGUCGAACGGAAAGGCCCUGCUUUUGUGGGGUGCUCGAGUGGCGAACGGGUGAGUAACACGUGAGUAACCUGCCCCUGACUUUGGGAUAAAUUCAGGAAACUGGGGCUAAUAGCGGAUAGGAGCUCCUGCUGCAUGGUGGGGGUUGGUAAGUUUCGGCGGUUGGUGAUGGACUGGCGGCUUAUCAGCUUGUUGGUGGGGUAGUGGCUUACCAAGGUUGUGACGGGUAGCCGGCCUGCGAGGGGAACCGGCCACAUUAGGACUGAGAUACGCCCCAGACUCCUACGGUACGCAGCAGUGGGGAGUAUUGCACAAUAGGCGGAAGCCUGAUGCAGCAACGCCGCGUGCGGUAUGACGGCCUUCGGGUUGUAAACCGCUUUCGCCUGUGACGAAGCGUGAGUGACGGUAAUGGGUAAAGAAGCACCGGCUAACUACGUG